UCAUCAGAUUAUAAGUUCAUUCCAUACCGGACCAGACCGGAAUAGGGUUAUGUACAUUCUUAUUAUGAUUAUGAGAAGGGG
rnacentral:tRNA from 1 species